CAAUAGCGUAUAUUAAAGUUGUUGCAGUUAAAAAGCUCGUAGUUGGAUUUCUGGUGGGAGCGAUCGGUCUGGCGCUUAGCGCGAGUACUUGCAUCGUCUCCGGCCAUCCUUGGGGAGAGUCUGUCUGGCAUUAGGUUGUCGGGCAGAGGAUCCUCAUCGUUUACUGUGAAAAAAUUAGAGUGUUCAAAGCAGGCUUAUGCCGUUGAAUAUAUUAGCAUGGAAUAAUAAGAUAGGACUUUGGUACUAUUUUGUUGGUUUGCGCACCAAAGUAAUGAUUAAUAGGAGCAGUUGGGGGUAUUCGUAUUCAAUUGUCAGAGGUGAAAUUCUUGGAUUUCUAGAAGACGAACUACUGCGAAAGCAUUUACCAAGGAUGUUUUCAUUAA
rnacentral:rRNA from 1 species